rnacentral:rRNA from 1 species
AGCGUACACGGUGGAUGCCCUGGCAGUCAGAGGCGAUGAAGGACGUGCUAAUCUGCGAUAAGCGUCGGUGAGGUGAUAUGAACCGUUAUAACCGGCGAUUUCCGAAUGGGGAAACCCAGUGUGUUUCGACACACUAUCAUUAACUGAAUCCAUAGGUUAAUGAGGCGAACCGGGGGAACUGAAACAUCUAAGUACCCCGAGGAAAAGAAAUCAACCGAGAUUCCCCCAGUAGCGGCGAGCGAACGGGGAGGAGCCCAGAGCCUGAAUCAGUGUGUGUGUUAGUGGAAGCGUCUGGAAAGGCGCGCGAUACAGGGUGACAGCCCCGUACACAAAAAUGCACAUAUUGUGAGCUCGAUGAGUAGGGCGGGACACGUGGUAUCCUGUCUGAAUAUGGGGGGACCAUCCUCCAAGGCUAAAUACUCCUGACUGACCGAUAGUGAACCAGUACCGUGAGGGAAAGGCGAAAAGAACCCCGGCGAGGGGAGUGAAAAAGAACCUGAAACCGUGUACGUACAAGCAGUGGGAGCCUCUUAAUGGGGUGACUGCGUACCUUUUGUAUAAUGGGUCAGCGACUUAUAUUCUGUAGCAAGGUUAACCGAAUAGGGGAGCCGAAGGGAAACCGAGUCUUAACUGGGCGUUAAGUUGCAGGGUAUAGACCCGAAACCCGGUGAUCUAGCCAUGGGCAGGUUGAAGGUUGGGUAACACUAACUGGAGGACCGAACCGACUAAUGUUGAAAAAUUAGCGGAUGACUUGUGGCUGGGGGUGAAAGGCCAAUCAAACCGGGAGAUAGCUGGUUCUCCCCGAAAGCUAUUUAGGUAGCGCCUCGUGAAUUCAUCUCCGGGGGUAGAGCACUGUUUCGGCAAGGGGGUCAUCCCGACUUACCAACCCGAUGCAAACUGCGAAUACCGGAGAAUGUUAUCACGGGAGACACACGGCGGGUGCUAACGUCCGUCGUGAAGAGGGAAACAACCCAGACCGCCAGCUAAGGUCCCAAAGUCAUGGUUAAGUGGGAAACGAUGUGGGAAGGCCCAGACAGCCAGGAUGUUGGCUUAGAAGCAGCCAUCAUUUAAAGAAAGCGUAAUAGCUCACUGGUCGAGUCGGCCUGCGCGGAAGAUGUAACGGGGCUAAACCAUGCACCGAAGCUGCGGCAGCGACACUAUGUGUUGUUGGGUAGGGGAGCGUUCUGUAAGCCUGUGAAGGUGGCCUGUGAGGGUUGCUGGAGGUAUCAGAAGUGCGAAUGCUGACAUAAGUAACGAUAAAGCGGGUGAAAAGCCCGCUCGCCGGAAGACCAAGGGUUCCUGUCCAACGUUAAUCGGGGCAGGGUGAGUCGACUCCUAAGGCGAGGCCGAAAGGCGUAGUCGAUGGGAAACAGGUUAAUAUUCCUGUACUUGGUGUUACUGCGAAGGGGGGACGGAGAAGGCUAUGUUGGCCGGGCGACGGUUGUCCCGGUUUAAGCGUGUAGGCUGGUUUUCCAGGCAAAUCCGGAAAACCAAGGCUGAGGCGUGAUGACGAGGCACUACGGUGCUGAAGCGACAAAUGCCCUGCUUCCAGGAAAAGCCUCUAAGCAUCAGGUAACAUCAAAUCGUACCCCAAACCGACACAGGUGGUCAGGUAGAGAAUACCAAGGCGCUUGAGAGAACUCGGGUGAAGGAACUAGGCAAAAUGGUGCCGUAACUUCGGGAGAAGGCACGCUGAUAUGUAGGUGAAGCGACUUGCUCGUGGAGCUGAAAUCAGUCGAAGAUACCAGCUGGCUGCAACUGUUUAUUAAAAACACAGCACUGUGCAAACACGAAAGUGGACGUAUACGGUGUGACGCCUGCCCGGUGCCGGAAGGUUAAUUGAUGGGGUUAGCGGUAACGCGAAGCUCUUGAUCGAAGCCCCGGUAAACGGCGGCCGUAACUAUAACGGUCCUAAGGUAGCGAAAUUCCUUGUCGGGUAAGUUCCGACCUGCACGAAUGGCGUAAUGAUGGCCAGGCUGUCUCCACCCGAGACUCAGUGAAAUUGAACUCGCUGUGAAGAUGCAGUGUACCCGCGGCAAGACGGAAAGACCCCGUGAACCUUUACUAUAGCUUGACACUGAACAUUGAGCCUUGAUGUGUAGGAUAGGUGGGAGGCUUUGAAGUGUGGGCGCCAGUCUGCAUGGAGCCGGCCUUGAAAUACCACCCUUUAAUGUUUGAUGUUCUAACGUGGGCCCCUUACCGGGGUUGCGGACAGUGUCUGGUGGGUAGUUUGACUGGGGCGGUCUCCUCCUAAAGAGUAACGGAGGAGCACGAAGGUUGGCUAAUCCUGGUCGGACAUCAGGAGGUUAGUGCAAUGGCAUAAGCCAGCUUGACUGCGAGCGUGACGGCGCGAGCAGGUGCGAAAGCAGGUCAUAGUGAUCCGGUGGUUCUGAAUGGAAGGGCCAUCGCUCAACGGAUAAAAGGUACUCCGGGGAUAACAGGCUGAUACCGCCCAAGAGUUCAUAUCGACGGCGGUGUUUGGCACCUCGAUGUCGGCUCAUCACAUCCUGGGGCUGAAGUAGGUCCCAAGGGUAUGGCUGUUCGCCAUUUAAAGUGGUACGCGAGCUGGGUUUAGAACGUCGUGAGACAGUUCGGUCCCUAUCUGCCGUGGGCGCUGGAGAACUGAGGGGGGCUGCUCCUAGUACGAGAGGACCGGAGUGGACGCAUCACUGGUGUUCGGGUUGUCAUGCCAAUGGCACUGCCCGGUAGCUAAAUGCGGAAGAGAUAAGUGCUGAAAGCAUCUAAGCACGAAACUUGCCCCGAGAUGAGUUCU